rnacentral:rRNA from 1 species
UACGGAGGGUGCAAGCGUUACUCGGAAUCACUGGGCGUAAAGAGCGCGUAGGCGGGAUAGCAAGUCAGAUGUGAAAUCCCCGGGCUUAACCUGGGAACCGCAUAUGUGACUGCUAGGCUAGAGUGCGUCAGAGGGAGGUGGAAUUCCACGUGUAGCAGUGAAAUGCGUAGAUAUGUGGAAGAACACCGAUGGCGAAGGCAGCCUCCUGGGACGCAACUGACGCUCAUACACGAAAGCGUGGGGAGCAAACAGG